AACGAACGCUGGCGGCAGGCUUAACACAUGCAAGUCGAACGCCCCGCAAGGGGAGUGGCAGACGGGUGAGUAACACGUGGGAACGUACCCUUUACUACGGAAUAACGCAGGGAAACUUGUGCUAAUACCGUAUGUGCCCUUCGGGGGAAAGAUUUAUCGGUAAAGGAUCGGCCCGCGUUGGAUUAGCUAGUUGGUGGGGUAAAGGCCUACAAGGCGACGAUCCAUAGCUGGUCUGAGAGGAUGAUCAGCCACAUUGGGACUGAGACACGGCCCAAACUCCUACGGGAGGCAGCAGUGGGGAAUAUUGGACAAUGGGCGCAAGCCUGAUCCAGCCAUGCCGCGUGAGUGAUGAAGGCCUUAGGGUUGUAAAGCUCUUUCACCGGGAGAAGAGUAAUGACGGUAUCCGGAGAAGAAGCCCGGCUAACUUCGUGCCAGCAGCCGCGGUAAU
rnacentral:rRNA from 1 species